rnacentral:rRNA from 1 species
UGGGGAAUAUUGCACAAUGGGGGAAACCCUGAUGCAGCGACGCCGCGUGAGUGAAGAAGUAUUUCGGUAUGUAAAGCUCUAUCAGCAGGGAAGAUAAUGACGGUACCUGACUAAGAAGCCCCGGCUAACUACGUGCCAGCAGCCGCGGUAAUACGUAGGGGGCAAGCGUUAUCCGGAUUUACUGGGUGUAAAGGGAGCGUAGGUGGCAAGGUAAGUCAGAUGUGAAAGCCCGGGGCUCAACCCCGGGACUGCAUUUGAAACUAUCUAGCUAGAGUGCAGGAGAGGUAAGUGGAAUUCCUAGUGUAGCGGUGAAAUGCGUAGAUAUUAGGAGGAACACCAGUGGCGAAGGCGACUUACUGGACUGUAACUGACACUGAGGCUCGAAAGCGUGGGGAGCAAACA